rnacentral:lncRNA from 1 species
ACCCCAGCGCUGGCGGAGGGACUGGGGUGAGAGUGAGUCAGGGAGGGACAAGGCUUUCAUCAGUCAUCCCUGGUGGACCCUCCCAAGAAAACCCUAAGGGGUUCCAAGAGCCUCUCAUUGGGGAAGUGUCCACAGUUGGGAGGGUGACGCACCCCGAACUCCACAGAGACUGAAGCUCCUGGAUCCCACCUCUCGCACACCUGGCCCCUACUUCCUCAUCUGCCUGUACAUCCCUUUAGGAUCCACAGCAUCAAGAACAAGUAACCACCUGGAUAAGGGAAGGCUCUGGGACCCAUUCAGGAUGUUAUUGAUGUUUUUGGAGAUGACGUCCAAGAGGAAGAGUUGGCAUUGCAUGGAGAGAUAAUGAGCUGUGUGGUGAUCAGCCCAGGCCUCAGAAGAAGUAGAUAAGGGGCAACCUCAGAGCCCUUCACCCACUGGACGCCACUGAGGUUUGUUAGGGACAGGAUCUCUGGAACAGGCACUACACCCCAUUGUGAUGUCCAGACGCCAGCUGGGUUUCCAGGGGCAACGGGGCUGCCCCAGUUCUGAGCCCAGGGGACCCCAGGAGGCAGAUGUGCUCUGGGGCGUGAGAUCCAUUAAGUCCGCCUCAGGAAAGCUGCAUCCUCCACACUGAAACCACACCGGCAUUAGGACACUCCACCCAGCCUCUGGAAACACCCACCACUGCCUUCUUCUGGAAAGCACCUGCUCUAGUCCCUGGAGACUCGUAUUAGGGCAGAAUCCAACAGAAGAAUUCCGUGGUCAGCAGAGAAAGCCCCAUCUCAGCAUCCAUGGAGCAGGUGCAUCUGAGCACAAGCCUGGUGGACCAGCCGACAAGCCUAAGACAAGGGCACAGGAAGCCUGGGUAUUGCCCACCAACACUCCAUCCAGUUCUCCCAUGGCCUGCCUUGAGGUCUACCAAGCAUUUAAAAGUCACCUUACCUGCCUGGGUAAGUUUAACCAUAUGUACCAAUAUUUCAUCAAGCGAUGCAUACAAAAGGGAGAGAGAACCCAGCUGAAGGGUGGCUACAGUGACAGGCAUAGGCUCUGGGGAUGAUCAGUUAAGACCACAAGCGGAGACACAACUGAGGCACAGUUGUGACACUGAGACACAGGACCACAAACUGAUUCAGCUCUGAUGACGGUGGUGGUCGUCUGAGACAGCACUGCCAUCAUCCUUCUGUGAACAUGAUGCUGACGUACUUCCGAUGGCUCCCUCAAUGCGAAGUCUGACUUGAAAUUUGGGAAAGGAACCUGCAGUAAAGGGGAUCCAGUGCCACUGGGUCUUCACUUCUUAGAGGGUAAUCACACCUCAGUUAUGUCCCCUUGUCAGAACAGCACAGACUCUUGGGAGUUCCCUGGUGGCUCAGAGGAUUAAGGAUCUGGCAUUGUCUGGCUGCUGUGGCUCAAGUUGCUGCUCUGGCAUCGGUUCAAUGGAUCCCUGGCCUGGGAACUUCCACAUGCCAUGAGCAUGCCCUCCCCUUCUGCCCCCCAAAGCCAUUUGCCUAUACCCAGGUCAUAAAAGAACUUUCCCACUAUUUCUCAUGUGGCUUUAUUUCCUUUACAUUUAGAUUUUGGGCCCCUCAGGGAUUCAUUCUUGGAUCUGGAGUACAAAAUCAAUCUUUUUUUUUUUGUCUUUUUAGGGUCACACCCACGGCAUGUGGAAGUCCCCAGGUGAGGGGUCAAAUUGGAGCUGCAGCUGCCAGCCCACAGCCACAGCAAUGAGGGAUCCGAGCCACAUCUGUGACAUACACCACAGCUCACAGAAACACCAGAUCCUUAACCCACUGAGCGAGGCCAGGGAUCAAACCUGCAUCCUCAUGGACAGUAGUCAGGUUUGUAACCUGCUGCAUGACAACAGGAACUCCCCAAAUCAGUCUCAUUUUUAUCUUCUCUCAAAGGCCUGCAGACAUUUGUCCUAACACCAUCCGUCAAAACAUCCAUCAUCCCACACAUGAUUGGAGGUCUAACUUCAUCCUAUACUAGAAUUCUAUAUGGCAUUCGGUCUGUUCCCUACUACCUAUUCUGUUCCAUGACAUCAUUCAUUUUUUUUGUGUGCCAGUUGAAUGAACAUAAGCAUCAUAACAAAGCCUUGGCUGUUAAACCCUAAUAUCCAGUGUGACUAGACUUCCCUCACAGAGCUUUCUUUUCACUAUAAACCAUACUUUUAACUUUUUAUUUAUAUCUGUAGCACUGGCAACUAUGUCUGGUCACUUACGAUGGAGCAGGAUAAUGUGAGAAAAAAGAAUGCAUAUGUGUGCGUGUGACUAGGUCACCUUGCUGUGCAGUGGAAAAUUGACAGAACAGUGUACCUCAGCUAUAAUGGAGAAAAUAAAAAUCAUUAUUAAAAAAUGUUAUUGGCAUAUAGUUGACUGACAAUGUUGUGUUCAUGUCAGCUGUACAGCAAAGGGUAAAACAUGCUUUUUUAUGUAUUGUUUUAUCAACGUGUAGUUGAUUUAUAAUGCUGUGGCAAUUUCUUCUGGUCAGCAAAGUGACUCUCUCUCUCUCUCCAUAUAUAUACAUACACACAUUCCCUUUUUUAUAUUAUCUUCCAUCAUGGUUUAUCCAAAGAGAUUAUAUAGAGUUCCCUGUGCUGUACAGCAGGACCUCAUUGCUUAUCCAUUCUCAAUGUCAUAGUUUGCAUCCAGUAACCCCGAACUCCCCGUCCAUCCCGCUCCCUCCCCCAGUCCUCCUGACAACCACAAGUCUGUUCUCUUUGUCUGUGAGUCUGUUUCUACUUUGUAGAUAGCUUCAUUUGUGCCACAGUAUAGAUUCCACACAGAAGUGAUAUCAUAUGGUAUUUGUCUUUCUCUGUCUGACUUCAUGAGAAGAAUCAAUAUGGUCAAAAUGACCAUGUUACCCAAGGCAGUCUACUGAGGCAAUAAAACAUGCUUUUUAAAUGAAAACAAUCAGAAUGGGUGGGACCCUUUAGAUCCAGGGCUGCUCUUGGCCUUGGGGACUUCUUAUAAAAUCUUUCAGAGGUAUCUUUACCCAAGCAGUCUCCAAUCCAUGCAUCCACUGCAUUUCUCCUGCGAGGUUUGGUGGACCUCUGUGGGGAUAUGCACACCCAUAUUCUAUAUUUGCACAGCAAAAAUGAACAGGACAAAAGUUCCCAGGAGACACAACAGGUUAAGGAUCCAGUGUUGCCACCUCACCUGUGACGCAGGUCAUAACUGCAGCGCAGGCUCGAUCCCUGACUCUGGACCUUCCACCUUCUGUGGGUGU